rnacentral:rRNA from 1 species
UACGUAGGUGGCAAGCGUUGUCCGGAAUUACUGGGUGUAAAGCGCGUGUAGGCGGGAGGCCAAGUCUGCUGUGAAAUCGCUCGGCUCAACUGGGCGGGGUCGGUGGAAACUGGUCACCUGGAGGACGGUAGAGGCGAGUGGAAUUCCCGGUGUAGUGGUGAAAUGCGUAGAGAUCGGGAGGAACACCAGUGGCGAAGGCGGUCAACUGGCCUCAUAUUGACACUCAGACGCGAAGGCAUGGGUAGCGAACGGG